ACUUUCAAAGGAUAAUAGUAAUCCAAUGGUCUUAGGAACCAGUGAUCUUGGUGCAAAUCCAGGUGAAAGUA
rnacentral:tRNA from 1 species